UGCGUUAUGGUGUAAUGGCUAACACUAUCGCCUCUCAUUGUCGAAGAGUUUUGUCAAUAGCGCGAUAGCCCAGGGUUCGAUUCCCUGUAACGGAC
rnacentral:tRNA from 1 species